rnacentral:lncRNA from 1 species
CAGCAGUGCCUGGUGCCCCUGUGGCUGGUUUCUGCUGCCCUCUGGUGGCCACAGUGAGGCUUGUUCCCAAAGAGAAGCCGGAAAGGCUGCUGCAGGCCACUUGCUCCAAGGGAGGUGACCAAGGACAACCCUUUCACAUCGGUGACCCAGGCAGCUGUCUGAAUGGGCCUUCGGUCCUAAGCUCUGGUCUUAGUGCCACACAGGCCAAGUUGGGGCGUGGGUGCCAUCUUGCCAUCCACAGUGGGCAAAGACGAGAGUGGCCGGGCCCAGUCCUUCCUGUCGUGGGCUGCAAAGGCUCCAGUGGCUUUCACCAGCACUCCAGGACCCACGGUAACGACCGACCAGCUGUCUCAGCCCUGAGGCAACCCCAGAGGUCCACCACGUUUCCCAAGACCCUCUGCACUGUAGCAUUGCGUCAGCUUCCGCUGUUCAGAAGAUCAGAGGACAGGAGGCGACCAUCUCCAUAGACCCAGGCAACGGAGGAAUCUGCCCGGCUCUGUCAGGAUGAGCUGCUGAAGGCCUAUCUGUCACUGUCCCAUGCCCACUCGGUGCUGAUCACCACGGGGUUCCCCACACAUUUCAAUCGUGAGCAGAUGAGACAGAUGACCCGCUGGGAGCAAUGGCCCUGGGCACUUCCUGUGGCCUUGGAGGGUCUCCAGGGUGGUCGGCCAGAGAGCCUUGAGCUUGCACAGGAAGCUUGUUGAAGACGCUGUAGAGCAAGGUGAGCAGGGACGGGCCCAGUCUA